rnacentral:lncRNA from 1 species
GUUAAGAAGAACAGAGUGAUCUGGAGUAUUUCAAAAUGGCUCCUUCCCCCUGCCUCUGCUGGCAGCUCAAGGGGAUUUUUCUCUGAUAUUUACUAUGGGAGCCUAGUUGGCCUCACGGUGUUUGAGCUCAAGGUGGUAAAUCUCACAAAACUGUGGGGGCCCCCUAUGACUUGGUUCCCCCGGAGUUUUUUAUUCUCAGAUGUCCACAAUGAACCUCCAGCAUUUUCAUCAAUUUCAGCCUGGUUUCCCUACCCUGACUCUGCUUCAUGAGUUCUGGAAGCUAGAAGUCUGAAAUCAAGGUAUCAACAGACGAUGCUCCUUCUGAAGGCUCCAGGGAAGACUCUCCCCUUGCCUCUUGGAGCUUCUGGGUGCUGCUGGCCAUCAUUGCUAUUCCUAGGCUUGGAGCUGCAUCACCCCAAUCUCUGUCCCUUCUUCACACAGCCUUCUCCUUUGUGUGUAAAUAUCUCCACUUGUUUGUGUCACUUCCUAAACGGAGACCAGUGCUUGGAUUUAGGGCUCACUCUGAUCUAAUGUGACCUCCUCUUAACUCGAUUAUACCUGCAAAGAGUAUUUCCAAAUGAGGUCACAUCAACAGGUGCCAGAUGGACAUGACUUUUGGGGAGACACUACUAUGAAAACCAUGCUUAGCUCAAAGGCCAUACAAAAACAGGCCACAGGAUGAAUUCCGCUCACGUGCUAUCAUCUGCUGACCCCUGGUAUGAGUAUUGUAAUGUCAAACCAAACUUAGAGUAAACUCAAAGAUUUUAUUUCCGACUGUAUAACAACUAGGAAAAGGUCAAAUAUUUUAAAAAGUCAUUUUCAGAGACUGGCGCAUUUUGUCAUGUAUAGCACACCAGGGACCGCAUCCAGUUGAGGAAGCUAGAAGCAGAGGAGGUAGAAUGAACCCUAAUAAUAUGUGAUUAAAAAACAGAGUCCUGUCAAGUGAGGCAAAACAACCAUAAUUUGAGAUGGCUAGCAUUCUUAUUUUUACUUCAAAAAACAAACAAAAAAAAGUGUUUUUAUGUUAACAUCUGAAUUCAUCACUAAAAAGUUCAGAUAAAAAAAUUCUGAUGCCAGGAUAAAAUAAUGAAUUUUAGCACUAUAGUUUCACUGACAGAGUCAGAGACAAUAUUAAGUAGUAAUAAAAGUA